UGUAACCUGCCCCAUCACCAACCAGGUUUUGAGGAGUCUUGAGCCUAUACCAAAUCAUAGUAUACGUAAAAUGAUACAAGAUUGGUGCGUGGAGAAUAGGUCUUAUGGGAUUGAAAGGAUUCCUACGCCUAGAAUUCCUGUGAGUUCUGUUGAGGUUUUGAAAAUUCAGGCAAAGAUUACUGCAGCGGCUUGUAAAGGAGGGGAUCAAGUUGGAUGCCGAAAUUUGGUGGCCGAGAUCAAGACCCUGAUGAAGGAAAGCGAAAGGAACAAAAAACGUUUUGUGAGUAAUGGGACAGGUAGUGUAUUAUCAGCUGCUUUUGAAGAGUUCUCGAGAGCAUGUUUCAGUGAAAAUGCUAC
rnacentral:misc_RNA from 1 species